rnacentral:rRNA from 1 species
AUCCUGAAUUCGAAAGGGGCCGGAUUCAAGUCGAUCCGACUGGUCAGGGUGCAUUUCUCUGCCAGAUGGCGCCGGUCGCCCGCGGCGAUUCAUUUCGUUUGCGGUGUCGUUCCCGGCGAUCACUCGGCGGGGUUGCACUUCCCUGGCGUUGGACGAGUGCACUUCCACCCUAGUAGAAACGUCGCGACCCGUUGGGUGCCGGUCAAAGGCCUGGGAUGGCAGACCGAGUGUCAUGAGGGGGAUCCCUCAUGCGCGCGGACUCCCGGUGACCCGGCCGGCUGCCCGACGGUAUGACCAGAGGAGUCGAUCCGCUGAAUGGGAAACACUGUGGCUGUGUAGCGUCCGGCCCGGCUCCGGCGCGUGCGGGAUUGAGGUGCAAACCGGGGGUGCCCGUGCUGAGCACGGCCCCGGCCCCGCUGCGUCGUCGGAUUUGCCGGUGUCCUCGGACUGGAUCGAUACUCCCGUCUGCGACGCCCACCUUCGGAUGGUCUCCCGC